UAAACUAAAAGAAUUUGGCGGCAAUUUAAUUUUUUAGAGGAACUUGUUCCGUAAUCGAUAAUCCUCGCUUAAUAUACUUAAGCAUAAUAGCUUAUAUACCGUUGUUAUAAGAAUAUGUUUUUAGACUAUUUUCUUGAUAUCGUUAAGAUAUAAUUUCAGAUCAAGGUUUAGUUUAUACUUAAGAGAGAAUGAGUUACAAUAAGGGUAUUUAUACGGAAUUUUUUAUUAUAAAAAGAGGAAGGUGGAUUUGAGAGUAAAAAGAUAAUUAAGGUUAGUUGAAGUUAAGUCUAAUUUGUGC
rnacentral:rRNA from 1 species